rnacentral:lncRNA from 1 species
UUUCAUGAUAAGAAUUUCAUGACUUUUGUAUUAAAGAAUUAAAUGGAUGAAAUAUGAAGUUUUAUUAAAAGAAAAAGGGGUGAAAAGAACAAAGUUUUGUCCAUCUUUGUUCAUCAUAGUUGAAAGUUAGAGAAGAGAAAGGAGAGGAGAAAGCUCUUGAGUAUUCGGUCAUUAGGAGGAGGAAAAUUGAAGGUAAGUUCUUGGUACCUUACUUCUAUUUUGAGGUUCAUGAGUUCUUCUUGAUUCUACCUUAACUCUUGAAGUAUAUUUUGAUUUUUAGUUGUGUUGUGAGCAUUUAGUCAUGAAUUAAAAUGAAGGAAAUGGUUGUUGUUUCAUGUUCUUUUGAUGAAAAAUGGAAGAUAGGUGAAGUUGAGCCAAACAAAUAAGCAUGCAUGUGCCUUAGAUGUUAAAGGGAAAAAUCAGCUAACAUGUUGUGCUUUAAAAUGAUGAAAUGGAGAUUAUACUUAAGUAAAAUCAUAGAUAUGUGAUGAUUGAUUGGUGAUAUACAUGUUUAAAUAACAUGCAUGCAAGGUAUGUGUGAAAGAGUGAUUUGGUAAUAAAUCUGCUUGGGACAACAGCAGUAAUGUGAAUUUGGAAAAUCACCAUAAAUUGUGGGAGAUGAAUUAGAAGCCGAAUAAAUUAUGUAAUUAAAGCUUAUUGAGUCUAAUUUCUAAUGAAAUAAACAAGAACAUAUUUUGAAUUCUGUACAAUAAGAAAUUUGAUUCGUAAUAAAGAGUGGUCAGAUUAGUCAAACAGUGAAACAUGGGAAACUUUGAGAAAAAUCUGGUAUUGAUUGGCUAAACCACAAAUUCUAAAAAUUUUAUGGAUAGAAGAUAUAUGAGUUUAUUUUCAAGGAAAAUUAACAGAACUUGAUUUGGAGUUUCGUAGCUCCAGUUAUAAAUGAUUUAGUGACUGUUGCUCAGGAAGACAGCUUGCAGUGAAAUUAUGAUUAUGUGGUAAACAUUGACAAAAAUUUGUUAAUGAGUUACUUAUUGUUUUCUUAUAAGCUUACUAUGAUCUGUAGGUGUGGUUGGCCGAAUAUUGUAAGGGGUUAAUACGUAGUUUGUAUUUGAAUAGUUAGAUUAACGUGUUAGUAAUCCAAUUGUAGGCUGUUCGUGUGUGGAUCUCAUCAGCAUAUCGUCGCAAACAAGUGUGUAACUGACACCCUCUCAUAGACUAGAUUGGCAAAAGCCGAAAAGCCAAAAUGCCGAAAAGUCAGUAUUUUGGGAAUUUGCGAGUGUGCGAAUGCUUGUAAGAUAGUUGGGUUUGUAUAUUUGGUAAUCUAAAGUAAUAAACUGCAGUACGCGCGAUUUCGUACAUUUUGAUAAUUUGGGCUUAAUGGGCCAAAGAUCGGGUUCAUGGGCCAACGGGCCCAAUUCGGUAAGUAUGCGCGGUAAGUGUUCUGAUAGUACGUAAAUAGUUAGAAUAUGCAUGAAAACCCUAAAAGUAGCUAAAUUACUAUAAUACCCCUAUGUAUGGAAAAUUACUGUCAUGCCCCUAGGUGUAAAAUUACCGUUAUACCCCUAGGGUUAAUUUUGACUGAAAAGCAUGACGAUCUGAUUCUGUAUGAUGUAUGCCAUGAUUAUAUAUCUGUUGCAUGGGGACAUGGGUUAUAUUAUGGAGGAAGCGUUCUGGUGGCUAUGCCACAAAUAUCUGAUCUGGUGGCUCUGCCACAAAUGUCUGUUCUGGUAGCUCUGCCACGAUUAUCUGUAUCUGGUGACUCUGUCACAUUAUCUGUUCUGGCAUCCAUGCUGCAAAUUCUGUGGUGUGUAGCGGUUGGGUGGGUCGAGUUGUCUCCCCACACGGUGUAAGGUUGGUACGGGGUUGUAUACGGUUGGAUAUGGUUGGGUUUCUGCAUAAACAUGUAAUAUCUGUUCUGUUCUGUUAUGGGCCUAUGGGCUUUAUUCUGAAUUCUGUUCUGGGCUAAGGCCAACUUAUUCUAUUUCUGUGGGUUGAGCUGAUUUAGACUAUGGUUGGGUUAUUUUACACACUGAGUUUUCCACAAACUCACCCCUUUUAUUUUCAUCCACGCAGGUAAUCCCCAACCAUAGUGGGCUUGGAGCUGUGAGGGAAUUCGGAGUGGCCACCCGUUCUGAAAGUUUGAUUUUCUUCUGGUGAACUGGACAUCCUUUUAUUUACAUUUGAAGUUUUGGGUUUUUAAACGUAAUAAGGCCGCUUAAUUAUUUUUGAUGGUUUUAAUAUGUAUUACUAAGAUAGGUAUUACUUAUUUUAACUGUUGAAAUUGGAUAGCUUUAGGGCGUGUUUUCAAAAACAAUUGAUUUCAAAAUAACACGGCAACAAGCAAAGCUUCCGUAAUGAAAGUAUUUUCCAAAAUUAAUCACUUUUCCUAAAAAUGACUUAAUCAAAUCGGUUUCCUAGAAAUAUCCAUGACGUUAAGGUGUGGCAAUGGCGGUAUGCAUGUCUAGGAUUGGAUCCGAAGGGAGCUUGGUACUUAAGCAGUCCGAUGGACUCACCACCUCUUUUCCGGUUUCCUAUCUGGUGCACAGCUUCCAUUCACUUUAACCCUUAAUGAAUUAAUCUUUUGAACAUCAAGUACGAUUUUCUGGACUUAGAAUGGAAAAAAAAAAAUUUAACGUUUUUGAUGUGGCAUGCCAGAUCCAGCCAUAACUUCUGGACCGAGUUUGGGGUGCUACAAUGCUCACACGGUCUGGCCAUAUAGCCGUGUGACCUCUGCAGUAUUGAAAAUUUUAAAUAUUUUUGAAAACUUUUCUGAGUUUUCAACUUAGUCCCUAUUCGUUUCUAAUGCGUAAUUUGGGCCUUGAGGGCUCGUUUAAGAGACAAUAUGUAUAAUUUUUAUUGGUUUCUAAUAUGAAUGCUAGAUGAAAUGAAAUGUCAGAUAAUUAAUUUUGUAAACUCCGGUAAUGCUUUGUAACCCUAUUCUGGCGACGAAUUCAGGUUAAGGGUGUUACAUUGUGAGCCAGAAAAAAAUGAUAAUGAGAAUUCUUUCAUUGAAUCUAUAAAGUUAGAUGAAAUAGAAAUGUCAUCAUGUUCUCCUACUGAGAUAUAUUGUACUGAAUUGAAUAUUCAUAAUACUUGUGAGGGGGAUAUGGGAAGUAAGGAAAAAUUAUGUGAAAAGACAGAGAGAAAAGAGACCUUUAGUGAUAAAAGUCUACUUAAUGGUCCAAAUUUGGUGAGUGAAAAUCUAUAUGAGGUAAAAUUGGAGAGUUCUUAAGUGGAAAAAGAAAGAGAAAAGUAAGAAAAUACCCAUACAAAAGUGAGGAAUGAUUACGUUUUAACUAACUCUAACUUAAAUUUGUUUAGUGGUGUUUCUUUGUUACAGGUUUUCAAGGAUCCAUUGAUGGACUCUCAAUUAUAUUACUUUACCAUCGAUAGACAAUUUUACUUAUGGGAAAGAGGUAAGUUGAACAUUGAUAAUUCUCCACAGGUACUAGAAGGUAAGAAAAAUAAUUAUACAUUGGAAAUUGAAAUAUGCAGGCAUGCCUUGAAUGUUUUUAAUAACUAUGCCACUAAUUUUCUUUUUCCUUACGACAUGCUUUCUCAUGGGUAAAGUUUCAAUAAACAAUGGUCUGAAAGUUCAAUUGAUUUUAUGGGUUUAUCUAGGUAUUUAAAGUUUACUUUUGUUGCAUUCGACAUGAUUAUUGUAACAGCCCAGUUUUAGCUAAAUCGGAACAGUGGUUUUAGAACCACAAAUCUGAGGUUGGAAAAUUAUUUUAAUAUUAUUUUUGGUGUUUACAGCAUGUGAUUAUAUAUGUGUGAAAGUUUCGUGAAAUAAUUUUAUCGUUUGGAUGCUUAAUUUGAGAAAAGAACUAAAUUGCGUAAAAUGCAAAAUUUUCAUUUUAUUUGAUAAAGGUGUCUAAUUGCUAUGGCUGAUUAAAUGUGAGGUCCUUAUGAUGUUAUUAUGUCAUUUAUAAGGUUAGUGGAAAUUUAUGGACAUGCAUUAUAAAUUUCUAAGUUUCUUUAUUAAGGGUAAAUAGGUAAAUGACAAAUUAAGUUUAUUUAUCAAACAUGAUUUUUGUUCAUCUUUUAUGCCUUAGCCAAAUUUUAAAGGUGAAAAACACCAUUUUAUGCUCACCUAGGGUUUUUCCUUUGAAUCUUUGAUUAAGGUAUGUCUUUUGCUUGAUUUUUGAUGAUUUCUACGUUUUUGUGAUCGUUGCUUUAAGUACUAGCUAGCCCGUGCCUUAAUUUUUGAAUUUUUUGAUGAUUUUAUGAAGUUCCAUUGUUGAAUCUAUGUGCUUUGUGAUGGUUUAUGAUGAAAAAUGAUAGAUUAAUAUGUUUUGUUAAGUGAUUUUUAGAGAAAAUACAAAUUAGGGAUAUAUUUGUGAAAAGAUAAAAAUGUGGGUUAAAAGUGUGAAUGAAUGAAAUUUUUGGGCUACUAUGGACUCAAGUAUAAAUCAUCUAAGCAUGGGUUAAAUUGAAUUGCAUUAAUUUUGUGUAAUUGUGAAACAAUGACUAAAUUGAAUAAAUGUGAAACUUUAGGGGCUAAAGUGUACAAAUUCCAAAAUAGGUAUUUUUGGACUAAAUUGAAUGAGUUGGUGAUUAGAUGGAUUAAUUUUGAAUGUAUAUAGAUCAAGAACGAAAUAAAUCAGAUUUAGAUCGGGGAAAAUCGAAAGUUGUUGAAUAGUCAAUCAAGUCCGUUUAUUCCGAAUACAAGGUAAGUUCAUAGGCAAAUAAAUGCCUUUAAAUUGAUUUAUAAAUGUUUAUUUGUCAUUGAAUUGCUAUGAAUGUUGAACGAGAAAUAUGAGCAAGAAUCGAUGAAGUUAUGAUAUAUGAAAUUCUCGUACGAACCUUAGGAAUAGUAUAGGAUACUAAUGUCAUGACAUUAGGAUUACCGAGAUGUGAUUACAUGUAAGACCAUGUCUGGGACAUUGGCAUCGUUAUAUGAUUUCGUGUAAGACUCUAUCUGGGGCAAUGGCAUCGAUAUGUGGUAACAUGUAAGACCAUAUCUAGGAUAUGGCAUUGUACGAGCUAUUGUGAUUUUCGAGUAUCCUUAACGAUUCUGAAUGGUUUAAUGGGAAAAUUCAAGUCAAUAAAGAAUGUGUGAAUGAGUUAAGUGGCUCAGGUACAUACGAGAUUCAUACAAGUAUUGAAAUGGGAAGUAUUUGAUGAAUUCAAUUAUGGUAUUGAAUAUGUGUACAAUGAGAGAGGUUUGUGAACUUGUGUAACAUCCCAAACCCGGCCCAGACGUUAUGACCGGAUCCGACAUGCCACAUCGAAGCGUUCAAAACAUUUUAUAUUGUUGAUCCAGAAAAACUUACUUAGUGUUUUAAAAGAUAAUUUCAUUAUAGGUUAAAGUGAAUGGAAGCUGUGCACCAGGUAGGAAACCGGAAAAGAGGUGGUGAGUCCAUCAGACUGCUUA